rnacentral:rRNA from 1 species
AUUGAACGCUGUCGGCAGGCCUAACACAUGCAAGUCGAGCGGCGCGGCGGACGGGUGAGUAAUGCCUAGGAAUCUGCCUGGUAGUGGGGGAUAACGUACGGAAACGGGCGCUCAUACCGCAUCCUCUCAGAUGAGCCUAAGUCGGAUUGGCUAGUUGGUGGGGUAAAGCCCUACCAAGGCGACGAUCCGUAACUGGUCUGAGAGGAUGAUCCGUAACACUGGAACGGAGACACGGUCCAGACUCCUACGGUAGGCAGCAGUGGGGAAUAUUGGACAAUUGGCGAAAGCCUGAUCCAGCCAUGCCGCGUGGGUGAAGAAGGUCUUCGGAUUGUAAAGCACUUUAAGUUGGGAGGCGUUACCAACAGAAUAAGCACCGGCUAACUUCGUGCCAGCAGCCGCGGUAAUUC